rnacentral:tRNA from 1 species
GAAAUAAUAAAUUAAAGAUUAGGCUUCUAACUUAAAUCUUAAGCGUUGAAAUACGUUUUUAUUUCU